GACAGAGGGGGCAAGCGUUGCUCGGAAUCACUGGGCGUAAAGGGCGCGUAGGCGGGAUGGCAAGUCAGUCGUGAAAUCUCUCGGCUCAACCGAGAAACGUCGGCUGAUACUGCCGUUCUUGAGGGAUGCAGAGGAGACUGGAAUUCCCGGUGUAGCGGUGAAAUGUGUAGAGAUCGGGAGGAACACCGGUGGCGAAGGCGGCCUUCUGGACAGUGACUGACGCUGAGACGCGAAAGCGUGGGGAGCAAACAGG
rnacentral:rRNA from 1 species